rnacentral:rRNA from 1 species
AGACCCGAAACCCGGUGAUCUAGCCAUGGGCAGGUUGAAGGUUGGGUAACACUAACUGGAGGACCGAACCGACUAAUGUUGAAAAAUUAGCGGAUGACCUGUGGCUGGGGGUGAAAGGCCAAUCAAACCGGGAGAUAGCUGGUUCUCCCCGAAAGCUAUUUAGGUAGCGCCUCGUGAACUCAUCUCCGGGGGUAGAGCACUGUUUCGGCUAGGGGGCCAUCCCGGCUUACCAACCCGAUGCAAACUGCGAAUACCGGAGAAUGUUAUCACGGGAGACACACGGCGGGUGCUAACGUCCGUCGUGAAGAGGGAAACAACCCAGACCGCCAGCUAAGGUCCCAAAGUCAUGGUUAAGUGGGAAACGAUGUGGGAAGGCCCAGACAGCCAGGAUGUUGGCUUAGAAGCAGCCAUCAUUUAAAGAAAGCGUAAUAGCUCACUGGUCGAGUCGGCCUGCGCGGAAGAUGUAACGGGGCUAAACCAUGCACCGAAGCUGCGGCAGCGACACUAUGUGUUGUUGGGUAGGGGAGCGUUCUGUAAGCCUGUGAAGGUGUGCUGUGAGGCAUGCUGGAGGUAUCAGAAGUGCGAAUGCUGACAUAAGUAACGAUAAAGCGGGUGAAAAGCCCGCUCGCCGGAAGACCAAGGGUUCCUGUCCAACGUUAAUCGGGGCAGGGUGAGUCGACCCCUAAGGCGAGGCCGAAAGGCGUAGUCGAUGGGAAACAGGUUAAUAUUCCUGUACUUGGUGUUACUGCGAAGGGGGGACGGAGAAGGCUAUGUCGGCCGGGCGACGGUUGUCCCGGUUUAAGCGUGUAGGCUGACUUUCCAGGCAAAUCCGGAAAGUUAAGGCUGAGGCGUGAUGACGAGGCACCACGGUGCUGAAGUGACAAAUGCCCUGCUUCCAGGAAAAGCCUCUAAGCAUCAGGUAACAUCAAAUCGUACCCCAAACCGACACAGGUGGUCAGGUAGAGAAUACCAAGGCGCUUGAGAGAACUCGGGUGAAGGAACUAGGCAAAAUGGUGCCGUAACUUCGGGAGAAGGCACGCUGACAUGUAGGUGAAGCCCCUGCGGGUGGAGCUGAAGUCAGUCGAAGAUACCAGCUGGCUGCAACUGUUUAUUAAAAACACAGCACUGUGCAAACACGAAAGUGGACGUAUACGGUGUGACGCCUGCCCGGUGCCGGAAGGUUAAUUGAUGGGGUUAUCGCAAGAGAAGCUCCUGAUCGAAGCCCCGGUAAACGGCGGCCGUAACUAUAACGGUCCUAAGGUAGCGAAAUUCCUUGUCGGGUAAGUUCCGACCUGCACGAAUGGCGUAAUGAUGGCCAGGCUGUCUCCACCCGAGACUCAGUGAAAUUGAACUCGCUGUGAAGAUGCAGUGUACCCGCGGCAAGACGGAAAGACCCCGUGAACCUUUACUACAGCUUGACACUGAACAUUGAGCCUUGAUGUGUAGGAUAGGUGGGAGGCUUUGAAGCGUGGACGCCAGUCUGCGUGGAGCCGACCUUGAAAUACCACCCUUUAAUGU